CACACACGGGGGGGGGGGGGGCACUAGAAUGUCCCUGGUGCUAACGAUCAAAACCCACAGAAAUGUCUGCCCGGAGGCUGCUCUGGUAGAGAAUGAAACAUUGCAGGAAAGAACUGGGCCCGUUACAAACACUGUUGGUCAUGAACCCACAAAUACUCUAAAUGCCAUGAGUUGGUGUAGAUUUCGCACAGACACGCCACCAUCCAUAGGCAUCACUGAUGAGAGGAAUUCACCCUCCAGCUCACAGUCAGCAUUCAGCGGAACCAGGACAUGGACCCUGACUCACCCCGCCCGGUGGAGGGCACUAAGCUAUGACCAUAUGUGAUCAGUACUUGCAGGCUUGCCCAUACCUUACUGACUAAGGUAAGGAACAGAAAGUUUUCACACACAAAUAAUAAAUGUCAUUAACACUUCGUGCAUAAAUGAGAAGAGAAAUUUCCAUUGAGUAACAUUUUGGAGCCCCCGAAUCAUUUUUUAUCAUAAAAUUCAGGGUUCCUAAGAAACAACCCAACGGCUGGUGGCUAAACUAUAUUUGUCCUCAUGCCUCAGAGUCUCAGAGCACAAUGUUUUAUUUAUGGGAACGCUAUAUAAAACUUGGAAAAUUGAACAAAAACAAACAGAUAUGGUUUGCUUUUCCAGUCAUGAGAGUUCAAAACUCACCCAUCCAUGUGCUCACGGAACCUUCGAAAACAAGACCAGGGCCAUCGCGGGAGGCAGGUGACCCAGGCCAUCACAUGCCCCUUCUGAGUCAUCACAUUGUUUUCCUGUGCCUGAGCUCAGGUUCCGAGGGAGGUGUCCCGAGGGGGUGGGAAUAAGGGUUCUGGCUCCUAGGCCCCGAGUCUCUAAACCAUGAAACUUGGAACAUCUGGAAACGCUGAGCUGUGCUGAAGACCGACGUGGAGAGGUCGAGGAGGCCGGUGCAAAGUCUCUGCCAACCGGUUUGGCUCUCGGAAGAGCUAUCUCCCCAUCGAUCUACUCGUGGGAGCCGCUGGACAGACCUUGGGCUCCAGGACUUGGGCCAGAGCGAGCAUUUCCUCCAGGGACUGUGCUCAGGCUUCUAGGAGACCUGGAAAGCGGGACCUGCUCACGAGGCCAAAGGGGUCGAGGCUUCCUCCAGCCGCACAAGCAGUUAUUCCCGUGAGGGUCCUGGCCCUGAGCGACGGGCCACCUGCGAAUCCCUUGGCGAGGAUGGAACCAGGGCCAGCCAGCCACACGUUACACAGGGAAACAAACCUGAGCGUCAAGCACAGUGUCUCCCGUGUGAGCAUCCUCCUCUUCCUCCUCCGCCUUUAGGAUUUAGGGAGUCAUGGCUGACCUAGCAGACACAUGUGGCUGUGGGAAAGGCAAGAACACUUUAUCCUCCACACGGACCUCCCCACGCUUCUGAAAUAAGUUGGCUUUUUCCUACGAGAACUGCAUUCCCAGUUCAAGACCAGCAACAGCACACGACCCCCGGGUUCGGCUGGAAAGACGCGUCAGGAACGACCCAGCUCAGCCGGGUGAGUGGAGACGCUGCCCCCUCACACGCGUGGAAACCAGGGAUUACAGAGGACGCGUGACUUGUGAGCAAGGCUCGGACUUUGGACACCACGUCUGGUCACCCACAAGCCAGGCCUCCCGGGGCACAGGAGGGGACACAGCUCCCGCUGUGAACGGCGCGAGUUACCUGAAUAGACGCUUAUGAAACUUCUUUCACCGUCACUGUUGACAUGUUGUAUCUACGUGGAAGACUAUCCUGUGGACGUUUACAUUGUACAGCCCAUGACCUCGCCUAGGGCCUCAGCCACAGAGUGAGGGACCGUCUGGAAUUCGCAUCAGGAGACUGCGGAGACCAGCACCUGGAAGGACGUUUGGGGGCCAUUCCCGCAGCGUGUGCGGUCUGGCCUGACCCCGACCAGAGGGCAGGCUCCAAUGAGGCCACAGGUGUGAUGGCCAUCGAGACCGAUCUCACCUCAUCAGCUUCUCCCUAAAAAGUGGCGACUGCGAUGCUGCUGCUCCGACUCCCACGUCCACACGCAGCUUCAGCUCCCACACGACCAGGAGGCACGGCUUCCACGUGAGGCGCCACAGAGGGCGGGUGGCGUGGGCUCCUGGGCGGGAGCCCCGAACGAAGGGAACACCGAGGUCCCUCCCUCCCUCCCUCCCUCCCUCCCUCCCUCUCACCACACCAUCCGGUAGGUGGGGGCGGCCCAGGGCCAGGAGGGGGCAGCACUCACAGGCCAGCCCCCACACCCAGCCGCCUGGCCUGCAGGCUGACGGCAGCUCUGAUUUCUAUUCCAUCUCAGUCAAGGUGUCAGGUAGCCCGAAGCCUCCAUCUCCUGGCUGCGUGGGUGGGCAGCUCUGACUCUACGACAGAAAGCAAUUCCGUUGAAAAGUGAAAAAUGCCACGUACUUGGGUGAACGGACAACGAGUGUGCACAUGGCGGUCUCAGCACAGCAUCCUCCGCUGCACAACUAGCACCACACAGUCCUCUUCCCGACCCCACAGGACCCUCGCCUACACGCUGCUUCCCUGAAACUGCAGGCGCCAGGUGUGCAGUCCUCCCAGAGGGCCGACGUGUUUCCUCCGUGGGUGGAGAAGAAACAGAACCCGCACCAAGUUGCACCGGGACCCUGAGUCGUGCAGGGCAGACCGAGACCCUGCAGACCUGGCCCAGGGUGCAGGGAGGUUCCCCCAAGGACACGCCACCAAGAACACACCACCGAGAACACGCUACUGAGAACACGCUACUGAGAACCAGGAAAACAAGCCCUCAGUCUGAGGCAGCUCAUGACCAUGAGGCGAUGUCCAAUGAGUGACGGAGGUGCUGGGCCUAACGAGCUUGAGCCACUGACCUGACUCCCUGCAUGUGCACAUGUGUGUGCUAUUUACUCAUGUGUGUACACCUGCUUUACAUGUAUGCUUUUAACAAUAAUUAUAAGCAGCCACAAAAGCAAAAAAAACACAUGAAAACAUUCACCGCACAGUAUCCUGAGAUGUUAACAGUGUAAACUGACUCACACUCGUGCAUUCUCUGCGUGACUGACCACACAGGUGUCAGCAGGAAAGGGCUGUCAGGUUGAGAGGGGAAUUGUUCAAGAUGGGAGACGUUUCUGGAAAAAAGGUUCCACUGUAAUUGACCUCCUGCAGAAAAAAAUCCAGAAAAUAUAUGGAAUGUAGAAAUAUUGGUGUUGUUCCUCAGCAUACAUGGGUGAUCUGACUGCACCUAGAUGGGAGACGGGCUUUUUAAACCAACGGGGGUGCCCUUUAGACAGGAUGUGGGGCACAGACAUUGCAUUCAGCGUCCUGGUGGCCGUCAGAGCAGCCUUGAAGGACAGAGAAGGGUCACCGCACGGAAGGCAUUUUCUCAGGUGGAUUUUAUAACUAAACCAGUUCCAAGGAGGAGCGCAAAGUCCACGCUCCCCGCAAGCCUUUCCUGAGCUUGGCUGCAGCCCAAGCAAACGGAGACACCGAAAAGCCCAGGCCACGGAGGACCCCAGGCCUUGCCGUGUGAAGGCGCAUGGGGAGCGUAGGGCGGGGAACCCAACAGCUUAGAGCCGGUGCUGGCUGUGCGUCUGCGGGAAGCCCUGGGUGGGCUGUGUCUCCUUGAUCCAGAAGAGACCACGGGCCACAAGGUGCAGCUCGUGACUUCUAGGGGGUCCGCUUGACCGGGAUACGGGUCCAGUACUGCCUUCCCCAAUGCUUUGUACAGAUUCUAGCACAUUCCUAGCAUACUAGUAACGUAUUAAUAGUGAAAAUAUGUAACCGAUACAAGUCAAACAUUAAACAAUAUUUCUGUAUAGCGCAUGUUUUCCUUUAUGAAAGGUAACUGUUCUUCUCUCUAGUAAGAGUUUACUUGCAUCGUUA